AUGUCUGAUGACGAUGGGAUCCCGGAGUGCGGGUACUGCUACGAUGACCGUGGUGUGUGCGACAUGUUUCCUCACCUGCAAAAUGAUAGGUUUUUCACCGUGAAGCUAGAAGAAACCUUCGAUAUUUGUACGAGGCUCCCGAAGCAGGUUGUGCCUGACAUGCUAUGUACCGAAGGUGAUAUGCAUAUGGUUAGCUUACGACCAACUCCUUCGGAGGCUUACCAUACUACAUACUCGAUUUCUUCAAAUGAUGGAAGGCUCAAAAUCAAAGAAUGGAGCAAAGUGAUGAAUGCGCACACGCAAAUAAUUGGAGACAAAAUGAAUGUGUGCAAGCCACAAGUUGGAGAUAGGUUUAUGUCCAUUCUCCAUUAUGGUGAAGGACCGGUUUAUCUGUUUUAUGGUAUUUUAGCUAGGAGAGAGGAGUAG
rnacentral:rRNA from 1 species